GAUGAACGCUGGCGGCGUGCCUAAUACAUGCAAGUCGAGCGAACGGACGAGAAGCUUGCUUCUCUGAUGUUAGCGGCGGACGGGUGAGUAACACGUGGAUAACCUACCUAUAAGACUGGGAUAACUUCGGGAAACCGGAGCUAAUACCGGAUAAUAUUUUGAACCGCAUGGUUCAAAAGUGAAAGACGGUCUUGCUGUCACUUAUAGAUGGAUCCGCGCUGCAUUAGCUAGUUGGUAAGGUAACGGCUUACCAAGGCAACGAUGCAUAGCCGACCUGAGAGGGUGAUCGGCCACACUGGAACUGAGACACGGUCCAGACUCCUACUGGAGGCAGCAGUAGGGAAUCUUCCGCAAUGGGCGAAAGCCUGCCGGAGCAACGCCGCGUGAGUGAUGAAGGUCUUCGGAUCGUAAAACUCUGUUAUUAGGGAAGAACAUAUGUGUAAGUAACUGUGCACAUCUUGACGGUACCUAAUCAGAAAGCCACGGCUAACUACGUG
rnacentral:rRNA from 1 species